CUUUGUUAAAAUUCUUUUGCCUAUCUUUGGAACUAGGAACCCUCACAUCAAAGGCAGAGGGAAUAGAAGUGCUCGAGCAAUUCUUGGGCACCUAAAAAAUUACUGUUUCCCUGGGUGUCUUUUGCUGAACCCUGGCCCUGCAUACUGCCACCAAGCAAAGAGUUAUGUGACCAAUGCUCACAGCAACCAUAUGAAGUAGGUGCCUUUAUGAUAAGCUCCAUUAACAAAUGAGAAAGAUGAAGCCAUAAUGAUUAAAUAACGUACCCAGAACAAGAUAACAAGUAAGGGAUGAAGCUUUCAGACUCAGGUAAAGCUGUUCCUUUGGCCUGACUACUGCCGCUCUCACUUUUUAUUUGACUCUGACGUUUCUUUGAAGGUUGAAGCUAGUCUCUGAACUCCUUGAUCACUGCACUAUUUCAUCCAGUUUUGUGUCCUUCAAGUCUAAAGCAACAUCUAGAACCAUCUUAGGCAUUAAACACACUUUGAAUGAAUGGAUGGAAAAAAAAAGUGUUAGAUGCCCAAUAAACCACUCAAAAGCCGAGUAUCAAAUGAGGAAUAAGAGGACUUACGGUACUUCAUCUACCAUAACCAUAAUCAACUUAUUAGUCUGGAGGAUCACUGUUAUUUCUCAGAUUGUCAGAAUUGGGAUGGAUGAUAACCUGCAGACUACCACUUUGUGCUUUGCUAAAAGGGAGGAUUGUGUUGCCACCAAAUCCCUAAUUGAGACCGAAUUAAAAUCUACGCCUGUUAAGCUCUCCA